rnacentral:rRNA from 1 species
UACGGGGGUAGCGAGUGUUGUUCGGAUUUACUGGGCGUAAAGGGAGCGCAGGCGGCAAUGUAAGUCAGAAGUGAAAUGUUGGGGCUUAACCCCAAAUCUGCUUUUGAUACUGCAUUGCUAGAGUAUGCAAGAGGAGGAUGGAAUUCUAGGUGUAGCGGUGGAAUGUGUAGAUAUCUAGAAGAACACCGAUUGCGAAGGCAGUCCUCUGGUGCAAUACUGACGCUCAUGCUCGAAAGAUAGGGGAG